GUGGGUUAAAGCCUCUGCCUUUGGCUCAGGUCAUGAUCCCAGGGUCCUGGGAUUGAGCCCCGCAUCGGGCUCUCUGAUCAGUGGGGAGCCUGCUUACUCCUCUCUCUCUGCCUACUUGUGAUCUGUCAAAUAAAUAAAUAAAACUUUUUUAAAAAAAUUAUAAAAACAAUAAAAAAAAGAUUAAGGGAACCAAGAGCUGGUUCCUUGAAAAGAUAAAGUAAAUAAACUUUUAGACAGACUUAUCAAGGCAAAAAGAGGACUCAAAUAAUCAGAAAUGAUCAAGAACUUAUGGGCACCUGGGUGGCUCAGUAGGUUAAGCGACUGCCUUCAGCUCAGGUCAUGAUCCUGGAGCCCAGGGAUCGAGUCCCACAUCGGCUUCUUGCUGAGUCUGCUUCUCCCUCUACCCUCCCCCUUCUCAUGCUCUCUCAUUCUCUCUCUCUCUCUCAAAUAAAUAAAUAAAAUCUUAGAAAAGAAAGAGGCCUUACAACUGACACCACAGAAAUAUAAAGGAUUAAUUAUAUACCAACAAACUGGACAACCUAGAAGAAAUGGAUAAUUUCUUAGAAAAAUAUAACCUUCCAAGACCGGAUCACAACGAAAUAGGAAAUUUGUACAGACUAUUUACUAGUCACAAAACUAAAUCAGUAACCAAGAAACUCCCAACAGGGGGAGUCUGGGUUGCUCAGUCAGUUAAACACCCAGCUCUUAUUUUGGCUCAGGUCACAAUCUCAAGGAUUCUUUACAAAUGUCUUAAAUCUCACUAACAAAGAUGAUUGAUAGCAGGAUUAUGACAUCCCACCAAACAGUCUCCAACUAUCUUAAUGUUAAUGGCCGGCCUAAAGAUGACAUUGACCAAGCUGGGCAAGGCCUCCAGUAUCCUGGCACCUUGUAGGUCCUCUUUAGCAUAAGAAAACUCCGUUGAAACCUUUUCCCUCACCUUCCCCCAACUGCAGGGUACAUAACCUGCCAUCCCUCACAACCAGGGGCAGCAGCUCUUCCUGCCCACGGGUCCUGUCCCCGUGCUUUAAUAAACCA
rnacentral:lncRNA from 1 species